rnacentral:lncRNA from 1 species
UAUAAUUAUUUAAUAUUAUGAGAAUUAUCUAUCACUAAUGUACAUUACCUUAGUGAUAAAGACAUAUGAUCUGGCUUAAGUAUUUUGAGUUCCCUCUUUAUAUAAAAUAUGACAAUAGCUUGUCGGUGGUUUUAUCCAUAAAUGUUGUUUAAGAAUAACAUUUUUUUCUAAAAUAGAACUUUUUUUUAGGGGACUAAUCUAGGUUCUACAAUUUUUUUUGCGAGAGAUCAAAGUAGGUCUUCACUUUUUUUCUAAAAUAUGACAAUAGCGUGUUUUUA